GCAGCCUCUAACAGUCAAAUGCAUCAUUAGCAGGUGGAAAAAGCUGUUGAAAUGGGAAAUGAAUGCAUCAGGCAGCCUCCUCCAGAUGGACUGCCUAGCUUUUCAAUUUGCAGUUUCACUCCAGUUGGACUUUGUGUUUUGGAUUCAACCUAAACAGCAUUUCUUCUCCCGCCUUCAGAAACAAGUCUUUCUGCAUCAAUUUCUUCCUAGGUUUACCCAGGCACUCAGGAUAAAGAGGAUCAGAAUAUUUAAGUUGCAGCACGGAGCCCAGUGAACUUUGCAUCAAGGGCCUGGCCUCCUUUGCGGGACUGCUAGAUGUAGGUCACACUCACAGGACCAAGGGGGUUGAGUGACUUCCAACCCAUUAAUUUUCUUCCUUCCUUGUAUACAUGUAUGCUCUCUUCUCCCCCCAAGGCUGGCAUCCUCCCCCUUCCUAGCCCAUAUAGUCCCAUCCCAAGACUUUCUCUCACAUGUAGAGGAAGGGGUAGCCAAAAAGGCAGCAUGAGCUGGAAAGUGGAAGCAUAAAUGGCAGAAAGAAAUUGAAGACCACAAAAUCUUAAAGAAAUAAAGGAUGUUAUCCUGCC